GUUCUCGUCCUUUCUCAGUAGUUAUCGACUAUUUCCCUUUUAGCCCUUUCGAUACCGUCAUUUAUUUAUUUACGUUUCUCAGCCGUUCUUUGUCUUUGAUGAUAAAAUUAUUAAAAGCAAUUGUAUGAAGACCUGCGAUUCGUGUCACGAGGCCUAUCGACAUUAUUCCAUGGACGAAUGGGGUAAGGGUUGUAAAAGAGUUGGUUAAAGGGGCAAAGAAUACGAAAAAGUGAGAAAAUAAUAUCUCCAACAAAUCUUGGAGAAUUCAACUUCAUUCGUUCUGGUGACUAUCCGAUAUUUUUUUUUAUUUUUUAAUUUUCUUUCAAACCGACCACCUUCUGUCUUACUCUGUCUCCAAGGAGAGAACCCGAUUCCACCGGGAGACUAAAAAGGAAUUUCGAUUAGAAGAGCGGAAACAAGGAAUUUAGUCUUACUUCAAGAAAAAGAGGAAAAAAUGAAAGAGGAGGAAGUGCCAUAAGAAAAUCAUCGGGACUGCCAAGCAUUGAAAAAAUGUGAUUUCCGGGGCGAAUUCCAGAUAUUGAAAUGAGGGCGAAGACGCUGGUAACAAUUACAAUGGAAAUCCUCAUAAUAAAACAUAUUGAAUUACGACGGCAACUGGUGCAAGGACAUUCAUCAGAAUGUUUUCCCAGUGCUCCUAGUGAAGAAUGAAUUUCACAGAUUCAUUGUCAGUGGUCCAUUUUAAAAAAUCUUUUAGCGAAGGAAUUUAAAUACGAUCCAAAUGAGUUUGGCCUUUGAUUUUCAAUUGCUGAAAAGCAGAUUGUGGUUACUCCCUUCAGUUAAGUCCUAAAACCGAAAAAUCAGAGUGUACCAAUCAUUUAUUUGCAUUAAUUAUAACGUA